rnacentral:tRNA from 1 species
GGAGAGGUGGCUUAGAGGUUGAGAGCUCUGGCUGUUCUUCCAGAGGUCCUGGGUUCAAUUCCCAGCAACCACA